rnacentral:rRNA from 1 species
CCUACGGGUGGCAGCAGUGGGGGAUAUUGCACAAUGGGGGAAACCCUGAUGCAGCGACGCCGCGUGGGCGAAGAAGUAUUUCGGUAUGUAAAGCCCUAUCAGCAGGGAAGAAAAUGACGGUACCUGACUACGAAUCCCCGGCUAACUACGUGCCAGCAGCCGCGGUACUACGUAGGGGGCAAGCGUUAUCCGGAUUUACUGGGGGUAAAGGGAGCGUAGACGGCUGUGCAAGCCAGCUGUGAAAGCCCGGGGCUCAACCCCGGGACUGCAUUUGGAACUGGGUGGCUGGAGUGUCGGAGAGGCAGGCGGAAUUCCUAGUGUAGCGGUGAAAUGCGUAGAUAUUAGGAGGAACACCAGUGGCGAAGGCGGCCUGCUGGACGAUGACUGACGUUGAGGCUCGAAAGCGUGGGGAGCAAACAGGAUUAGAUACCCCGGUAGUC